GACGAACGCUGGCGGCGUGCUUAACACAUGCAAGUCGAACGGAAAGGCCCUGCUUUUGUGGGGUGCUCGAGUGGCGAACGGGUGAGUAACACGUGAGUAACCUGCCCUUGACUUUGGGAUAACUUCAGGAAACUGGGGCUAAUACCGGAUAGGAGCUCCUGCUGCAUGGUGGGGGUUGGAAAGUUUCGGCGGUUGGGGAUGGACUCGCGGCUUAUCAGCUUGUUGGUGGGGUAGUGGCUUACCAAGGCUUUGACGGGUAGCCGGCCUGAGAGGGUGACCGGCCAAAUUGGGACUGAGCUGCGGCACAGCCUACUACGGGAGGCAGCAGUGGGGAAUAUUGCACAAUGGGCGGAACCAUGAUGCAGCCAAGCCGCGUGCGGGAUGACGGCCUUCGGGUUGUAAACCACUUUCGCCUGUGACGAAGCGUGAGUGACGGUAAUGGGUAAAGAAGCACCGGCUAACUCCGUG
rnacentral:rRNA from 1 species